rnacentral:rRNA from 1 species
GACGAACGCUGGCGGCGUGCUUAACACAUGCAAGUCGAACGGUAAGGCUCAGCUUUUGUGGGGUGCUUGAGUGGCGAACGGGUGAGUAACACGUGAGUAACCUGCCCUCGACUUUGGGAUAACUUCAGGAAACUGGUGCUAAUACCGGAUAGGCGCUCCUCUUGGCUGGUGGGGGUUGGAAAGUUUCGGUGGUUGGGGAUGGUCUGGUGGCUUCUUAGCUUGUUGUUGGGGUGGUGGUUUACCACGGAGUUGACGGAUAGCCGGCCUGCGGGGAUGACCAGCGACAUAGGGACUGGGAUACUGCCCGGACUCCUACUGGGGACAGCAGUGGGAUAGGUUGAAGAAUGGUCGGAAGCCUGAUGCAGCAACACCGCGGGCGUGAUGAUGGCCUUCUGGUUGUAAACCGCUUACGCCUGUAACAAAGCGGGGGUGACGGUAGUGGGUAAAGAAGCACCGGCUAACUACGUG